rnacentral:rRNA from 1 species
AGAUUGGACGCUAGCGGCAUGCCUAACACAUGCAAGUCGAACGGGAGUAGCAAUACUCUAGUGGCGGACGGGUGAGGGAAUACGUAGGAAUUUUGCCCUUAAGUGGGGGAUAACCCGGGGAAACCCGGAUUAAUACCGCAUGACCUCGAAAGAGCAAAGUGGGGGAUCGCAAGACCUCACGCUUUUGGAGAAGCCUACGUCGGAUUAGCUAGUUGGUGAGGUAAUGGCUCACCAAGGCGACGAUCCGUAACUGGUCUAGAGAGGAUAGAUCGAGUCACACCGGAACUGACGACACGGUCCGGACUCCGGUACGGAGCAGCGAGUGGGAAUAGUGGACAGUGG